rnacentral:rRNA from 1 species
AUGAACGCUAGCUACAGGCUUAACACAUGCAAGUCGAGGGGCAGCAUGGUCUUAGCUUGCUAAGGCCGAUGGCGACCGGCGCACGGGUGAGUAACACGUAUCCAACCUGCCGUCUACUCUUGGACAGCCUUCUGAAAGGAAGAUUAAUACAAGAUGGCAUCAUGAGUCCGCAUGUUCACAUGAUUAAAGGUAUUCCGGUAGACGAUGGGGAUGCGUUCCAUUAGAUAGUAGGCGGGGUAACGGCCCACCUAGUCUUCGAUGGAUAGGGGUUCUGAGAGGAAGGUCCCCCACAUUGGAACUGAGACACGGUCCAAACUCCUACGGGAGGCAGCAGUGAGGAAUAUUGGUCAAUGGGCGAGAGCCUGAACCAGCCAAGUAGCGUGAAGGAUGACUGCCCUAUGGGUUGUAAACUUCUUUUAUAAAGGAAUAAAGUCGGGUAUGCAUACCCGUUUGCAUGUACUUUAUGAAUAAGGAUCGGCUAACUCCGUGCCAGCAGCCGCGGUAAUACGGAGGAUCCGAGCGUUAUCCGGAUUUAUUGGGUUUAAAGGGAGCGUAGAUGGAUGUUUAAGUCAGUUGUGAAAGUUUGCGGCUCAACCGUAAAAUUGCAGUUGAUACUGGAUAUCUUGAGUGCAGUUGAGGCAGGCGGAAUUCGUGGUGUAGCGGUGAAAUGCUUAGAUAUCACGAAGAACUCCGAUUGCGAAGGCAGCCUGCUAAGCUGCAACUGACAUUGAGGCUCGAAAGUGUGGGUAUCAAACAGGAUUAGAUACCCUGGUAGUCCACACGGUAAACGAUGAAUACUCGCUGUUUGCGAUAUACAGCAAGCGGCCAAGCGAAAGCGUUAAGUAUUCCACCUGGGGAGUACGCCGGCAACGGUGAAACUCAAAGGAAUUGACGGGGGCCCGCACAAGCGGAGGAACAUGUGGUUUAAUUCGAUGAUACGCGAGGAACCUUACCCGGGCUUAAAUUGCAGAUGAAUUACGGUGAAAGCCGUAAGCCGCAAGGCAUCUGUGAAGGUGCUGCAUGGUUGUCGUCAGCUCGUGUCGUGAGAUGUUGGGUUAAGUCCCGCAACGAGCGCAACCCCUAUCCCCAGUAGCCAGCAGUUCGGCUGGGCACUCUGAGGAGACUGCCAGGGAUAACCUGGAGGAAGGCGGGGAUGACGUCAAAUCAUCAUGCCCCUUAUGAUUUGGGCUACACACGUGCUACAAUGGCGUAAACAAAGGGAAGCGAGACCGUGAGGUGGAGCAAAUCCCAAAAAUAACGUCUCAGUUCGGACUGUAGUCUGCAACCCGACUACACGAAGCUGGAAUCGCUAGUAAUCGCGGAUCAGAAUGCCGCGGUGAAUACGUUCCCGGGUCUUGUACACACCGCCCGUCACACCAUGGGAGUCAGUAACGCCCGAAGUCAGUGACCUAACCGCAAGGGAGGAGCUGCCGAAGGCGGGACCGAUGACUGGGGUG